GACGAACGCUGGCGGCGUGCUUAACACAUGCAAGUCGAACGGAAAGGCCCUGCUUUUGUGGGGUGCUCGAGUGGCGAACGGGUGAGUAACACGUGAGUAACCUGCCCUUGACUUUGGGAUAACUUCAGGAAACUGGGGCUAAUACCGGAUAGGAGCUCCUGCUGCAUGGUGGGGGUUGGAAAGUUUCGGCGGUUGGGGAUGGACUCGCGGCUUAUCAGCUUGUUGGUGGGGUAGUGGCUUACCAAGGCUUUGACGGGUAGCCGGCCUGAGAGGGUGACCGGCGACAUUGGGACUGAGAUACGGCCCAGACUGCUACGGGAGGCAGCAGUGGGGAAUAUUGCACAAUGGGCGGAAGCCUGAUGAAGCAACGCCGCGUGCGGGAUGACGGCCUUCGGGUUGUAAACCGCUUUCGCCUGUGACGAAGCGUGAGUGACGGUAAUGGGUAAAGAAGCACCGGCUAACUACGUG
rnacentral:rRNA from 1 species